rnacentral:lncRNA from 1 species
AUUUCUGGAAACUAGACAUGUAGGGCUUCUUGAUUAAAUUUUAUUUCAUUAAAUUCAACUUCGUUUUCAAUUUUAUACGUAUUUUGGAAAUAGAAACCACUGCACUGGAAAUCCACGAUUCCAGUAUUGUGAUCAGAUUCAAAAGACUAUUUGUACCACCAAAUGAACUCAAAAAAUUCUGAAAGUUUAUAUGUAUGUUAAUAUAUGUGUCUAGGAUUCGCAGUUUUAAUUUCAUAAUUUUCUGAUUAGUAUUUUAUUUUAUAAAAAUCACGGAACCCAUUCUGUUUGGUUUAGAUUAUGUGAAAACAGUUUCGAAUUUGCUGAGAAGUAAAUAGUUUUUAAAAUGUUUUUGAUAUCGGAUUCUCUUGUAAAUUUUACAUGGGGUACUCAUGGAUGUCCAGAAUGGUUCCAUAGGAUUUUAUAUCAUUCUGAGACUUGGAUUAAGAGUUAAAAUUCUGAGAAUCAGACCUGUACGGGUAUGAAUUAGAAAAUCAAAUUCUUAGAAUACGUUAUUGAUUGUCAUAUCUUGUAUUUGUUUAAGGUUUUGAAGGUGUUUGAGGCUCUUAGAAGCUUAGAGGUGUGUUAAUCCAAGUUCAUUUGUCGAGGUAAGUAACUUCAUUCCUAGUAUACUGGAUAUGUAUAAGUAUUUUGAUAUUAUUGUUAUAAGUAUAAAUGUUUUUAUACUACUUAAAGGAUUAAUUGAUUUUGAUAACAAAAUUAGCUUUAUGUAAAUGUUUUCAAACCAUUCUUUUUAACAAAGUAUUUUAUAAAUGCUUUUUAAUAUGUAAAUGAUUUUAUGACAUGACAACCUUUUAUGAUUUUAUCUUUAAAAUGUUAUGCAAGCCUAAAUUAUUGUUAUGAACUUUUAUGAAACUGAUAUGAAUGUUUUGUACCUAUGUUUGAUUUCAAUUAUUGAUGAUUGUAUGAGAUUCUUAAUGCUUUGGCUCAUUGUCCAUAGUUAGUCUGAUUCUGAUUCUGAUUCUGAUCGUAAUAUACGAUAUAUCCGUCUGGACCAGUACUGGGUUUUUGUUCUGAAUGUACACACGAUAUUCUAAUUAUGUUUCUGGCCGGGUCACCGGGACUAUAGGUGACACUAUGUGACAUGAGCUAACCUGUUUGUUUUCUGUAUACGUAUUACAUGAGUUGAUUCGUAAGUAAAUAUGCUUUUGAAUAUUCUGAAUUAUUAAGAAUUUAUCUUAUGUUAUUGUGAUAUAUCGUUUUAUGAAAAUUAUGGAUUAUGAUAUAUGCUUUAAACAAAAGAAGGCUUGCAAUAUUUUUGGUAUCAAUAGGCCUAGUGUGUUAGGAAUGGUUUUACUUACCGAGUUGACGGCUCACCCCUCGUCAUUACUUUUUUGCAGAUUAAGUUUCUUUUGAGAGGUGCACUUAGCUUUGGAGUUAAUGAUUUCCAGUUUCCGUUUGCUAUUGAAUAAGAGGAGGAAUAGACUUGUGUUUCUAUUUAGUUACUUUUAUUAUGAACGUGUAAUUUGGAGUUUGAGACUUUUGUUAUUAUUUUUAUAUGUCCUCGAGAGAGAUUAUUUAGUAUUUGACGUUUGGAUUUAUGGAUUUAUUUGAAUAAGAAUUGGAGGAAUUUCAGUUUGAAACUUAUGAGUAAAGAUUAUGAUUUGUGAGUAACCUCCUUCUUCACGUGCUCCGCACGUGUUAGAUUUGGGGUGUUACAAUUGUGGUAUCAGAGCAACUAGGUUAGGAUUCUGUAGACUUUCUUUUACGGUUUAAUUAGAUUGUCUAAUUAAAUCGAUUACAUUUGUUUUGUAGACAUGAAGAAGGACAAUAUGGGUAUGAAAAGUGUCAAGAAUAAGGGAUGGACAGAAAUUGAUAGGACCGAACAAUUUAUCUUAGGAGGAGUUCUUGUCAAAGAUCUUAGGAGACUUCAUAAGCAGUGAAUGGAUGAUAGACUAAGACGGACUAUAGAGGUCUACAUCGAUACUCCUCCAGGACCUGGAGCUUCAAGAAAGAAGCUCAAUGAGGCUAUACGUGGACUACGUGUUUAUGGCAAGGGAGCUAACAAGAAUAAGCUUGUAAUACGUCGCCUAUUUUGGACAGGACCUCGAUUUAAGCCUUACUAUAGCAAAGGAUGGGUAUCUCCAGGUCUAAAUAAACUACCUUAUAGAACUCCUAAGGAAAUCGAGACAGAUGGAGUCACGACUAAGGAAAGGAAAGUAAAGAUAGAUCCUUUUCCUAUCCGGUUGAGUACACCUAUGAACUUUGUGGCUGUAGGACAUGAAACUCUGUAGACUUUAUUAAGGUUAAUAGAGUGAUUAAAUAUUUUAAGGCAAGGAGUAACUAGUAAUUCUAUUUUGGUCUUUUUGGCUUUCUAUGUUGCUUGUGACUUUGUAAUAACUCUUGUUAUAUGAUCUUUGGUAUUAACGUAGAAUGAAAUAUUUAUUGCUCUUGUUUACAAUAUCAAAUUUUCUUAGCUACACUACUUAUUCAGUACUCUGCGCGCUUGCACGACCUUUAGCUAUGAAUUAUUUACCCCUUUUUAAUUAUUUAUUUAUUCUCCGUGUUAUAGUCAAGAGAUGUCACGUAAGGGAGGUGCUAGGCAUGCCUCUAGCUCGAGAGAUGUUUUAGGUAUCGCUGACGACGCUGACCCAACCUUGCACGAGAUGGCUAACGAAGGAAAUCCUAUGAUGCGCGCAAUGCUUAGAUUGAUGGAACAACAAAGUAAGUUAAUUCAAGAUAUGGCUAGAGGCAGAGUUGGGGCACAAGAGAAUGUGCCAGUUGAAAGGCAAGGUGGCGCAAGAGAUCAUGGGGCUAUGGUGAACUUAGAACGAUUUAAGAAAUUGGGACCACCUACCUUUCAGGGGACUGCCGAUUCCAUGGUUGCAGAGGCAUGGCUAAAACAGAUGGAGAAGAUAUUUGUGGCUAUGGGUUGUAAUGAUGAUCAAAGGGUAAUAUUAGCCUCAUUUGUCCUUCAGGGUGAGGCAGACCACUGGUGGGAUGCCAAAUCUCGUCUCAUAAGGGCUGGCUUGCAAGAUGCACCCAUUACUUGGGAGUUAUUUUUGGAGGCUUUUCAUGAAAAGUAUUUUCCUGAACGAGUUCGACAUCAGAUGGAGGCUGAUUUCUUGAGGUUAACUCAAGGAACAAAGUCUGUUGCGGAGUAUGAGGAACAAUUUACUGCCCUCUCUCGUUUUGCUCAUACCUUGGUUGCUAAUGAAGGUAGUAAGUGUAGGAAGUUCCUGGAAGGGUUACGUCCUAACAUUAAAGGGCGAUUGACCAUCCUUAAGAUUAACAAUUAUGCCGAUUUGGUGGACCGAGCAAUUCUUGCGGAGAAGGAUAUUCUUGAAGCCCAAGUUACAAAGGAUCAGAGAAAUAAGAAGAAUCAACAAGGUGGACCGCGAAAUGGAAGUUCCUUUAGGCAGGGCACUCACUCCCAGAAGUAUAAUGGUGGAGGUAACAAAUGGGAUAACAAGGGUGUUACUGGUGACACCGCUCGGAGGAACUACCCCAUUUGUCGACAUUGUGAAAGGAGGCACCCUGGUGAAUGCCAUUGGAAAACUGGAGCUUGUUUUGCUUGUGGAGAAUCUGGGCAUAGGAUUAUGGAUUGCCCAAAGAGACGUAGCGAGACUACAAAUACUCAGACUAACGAAGGGCAGAGGAAGAAACCGAGGGUACAAGGGCGUGUUUUUGCACUAACAGAAAAAGAUGCUGAGGUGUCCAAUGAUGUAGUAUCAGGUACAUUGUCUUUAUUCUCUAGAGAAGCCAAAGUUCUUUUUGAUCCUGGUGCUACACAUUCAUUUGUAUCUUGUGUGUUUGCCCGUUAUGCUAAUGUGCCUAUCACACCACUGGAUGUUCACGUGACAAUUAGUACCCCUAUGGGGGAUUGCUAGUUUAUAGAUCAUGUCUAUAAGUCAUGUGUGAUCAGAUUGUGUGAUAAAGAAUUCCUUGUGGAUCUCCUACCUUUAGAGAUGCACGAUUUUGAUUUGAUUUUGGGGAUGGAUUGGUUAGGACCUUACCAUGUUUCAAUAGAUUGUUUUGCUAAUUAAAUUAUUUUUCGCCUACCUGGCGAGGAAAAAUUUCAUUUUCAAGGGAAUCAUAAGAGUCAUAAAGCUUUGAUUUCUAUGGUUAAGGCAAUGAAAAUGCUAAAGAAGGGGUGUGAAGGAUUUUUAGCGUAUAUAGUUGCUGACCAUCCCGAUGGGGCGUGCCUUGAAGACAUACCUAUUGUAAGGGAGUUUAUUGAUGUAUUUCCUGAAGAUCUUCCGGGACUACCCCCAGAUCGAGAGGUUGAGUUUACUAUAGAAUUAGUUCCUGGUACUACACCUAUAUCCAAGGCACCAUAUCGGAUGGCACCCAUUGAAUUAAAAGAACUAAAGGUCCAGCUACAAGAAUUACUAGAUAAGGGUUUCAUUCGUCCUAGUGUGUCGCCUUGGGGUGCUCCCGUUUUGUUCGUAAAGAAGAAAGAUGGUUCAAUGAGGUUGUGUAUAGACUACCGGCAGUUGAAUAUGGUUACCGUCAAGAAUAAAUACCCUCUUCCCCGAAUUGAUGACCUCUUUGAUCAAUUACGAGGUGCAGCGGUAUUCUCUAAAAUUGAUUUACGAUCUGGCUACCAUCAAUUGAAAAUAAGAAGUGAGGAUGUAUCGAAGACAGCUUUUCGAACUCGUUAUGGACACUAUGAGUUCUUAGUUAUGCCUUUUGGAUUAACUAAUGCUCCUGCAGUGUUCAUGGAUUUGAUGAAUAGGAUCUUCCAACCUUAUCUUGACCAGUUUGUCAUCGUCUUUAUUGAUGACAUAUUAAUUUACUCUAAGAGUAAGAAGGAGCAUGAGUCGCACCUGAGGAUUGUAUUAGAAACAUUGCGGAAGAAGAAGUUGUAUGGAAAAUUUAAGAAAUGUGAGUUUUGGCUUGAUCGUGUGAUGUUUUUGGGACAUAUAGUGACGAAGGAUGGUAUUUCAGCAGAUCCAGCCAAAGUGGAGGUAAUUGUGAAUUGGGAAAGGCCUGCUAGUGUGACUGAAGUAAGGAGUUUCUUAGGAUUGGCAGGUUAUUAUAGGCGCUUUGUCAAAGGAUUUUCUAGCAUAGCAGCACCAUUGACUAAUUUGACUAAGAAGAAUGUGAAGUUCAAUUGGGAUGAGGCAUGUGAAAAGAGCUUUUAAGAGCUCAAGAGUCAUUUGGUGACUGCCCCCGUUUUAACUCUCCCUUCUGAAGGUGGAGGUUUUGUGAUUUACAGUGAUGCUUCCAGAAAAGGUUUGGGUUGCGUUUUAAUGCAACAUGGUAAGGUUAUAGCAUAUGCUUCUAGGCAGCUAAAGAAUCAUGAACAAAACUACCCAACACAUGAUUUGGAAUUGGCUGCUAUAAUGUUUGCUCUAAAAAUCUGGAGACACUAUUUGUAUGGGGAGACUUGUGAGAUCUUCACCGAUCAUAAGAGUUUGAAGUACUUGUUUACUCAAAAGGAAUUGAAUUUGAGGCAAAGAAGAUGGUUGGAGUUGGUAAAGGAUUUUGAUUGUUCUAUUAAUUACCAUCCAGGUAAGGCAAACGUAGUAGCGGAUGUCUUGAGUAGGAAAUCAUCUGGGUGCAUGGCUCAUCUUAUCACCAUGCAAUCUCAUUUGGUAAAAGACUUGAGGAGAUGUGGGAUUGAGGUAGUUACUCAUGGGCAAGCAGACGUGUUAGCACAUUUGACAGUCCAACCCACUCUAAUUGAUAGAGUUAAGGUAGCUCAGAAGAACGACAUAGAACUCAAUAAAAUCCGUGAAGAUGUGAGCAAAGGACAUAAGCCCGGAUUUAGACUUGAUAAUGGGGAUGGAUUAUGUUUGGGACAAAGGUUAUGCGUGCCAGCAGACGAAGAGUUGAAGGCGGAGAUCUUAAGAGAAGCUCAUGAAUCAUCUUACAGUAUGCAUCCUGGUAGUACUAAGAUGUAUCGUGAUCUAAAGCAAAGUUUUUGGUGGAGGAAUAUGAAGAGAGAUAUUGCUGCUUUUGUGUCUCGGUGUUUAGUCUGCCAACAAGUAAAGAUUGAGCAUUAAAGACCAGCAGGAACUUUACAAACGCUUCCUAUUCCUCAGUGGAAAUGGGAACACAUAACAAUGGAUUUCGUUUCUGGAUUACCUCGUUCUAGGAGGGGAUGUGAUUGCAUUUGGGUAAUUGUUGAUCGAUUGACGAAAUCAGCUCAUUUCUUGGCAAGGAAGAGUACAGACAAUGUAGGGCAACUAGCUAAGUUGUUCAUUAAGGAGAUAGUGAGGCUUCAUGGGGUUCCAGUGUCAAUAGUGUCUGAUAGAGAUCCACUGUUCACUUCAAGAUUUUGGGCUAGCUUACAUAAAGAGUUGGGGACGAAAUUGAGAUUUAGCACUGCUUUUCAUCCACAGACAGAUGGGCAAUCCGAAAGGACUAUUCAAACCCUUGAGGAUAUGCUUCGAGCUUGCGUCCUAGACUUGAGUGGUGGUUGGGAAGAGCACCUAAUGUUGAUCGAAUUUGCUUAUAACAAUAGCUUCCAUUCGAGUAUUGGCAUGGCACCAUUUGAGGCAUUAUAUGGAAGAAAGUGUAGGUCCCCAAUCUGCUGGGAUGAAGUUGGUGAAAGAAAACUUUUGGGUCCAGAAUUAAUACAGAUUACUGUUGAUAAAAUCAAGUUGAUUAGAGGACGUCUUCAAACAGCUCAGAGCAGACAGAAGAGUUAUGCAGAUCGUCGUAGACGUGAGUUGGAAUUCGAAAAAGGAGAUUUUGUUUUCUUGAAAGUAUCGCCAUGGAAAGGGGUGUUUCGGUUCGGGAAGACAGGAAAGCUUAGCCCUAGAUUUAUUGGACCAUUUGAGAUUUUAGAGAGAAUUGGUCCGGUGGCCUAUCGCAUAGCUUUACCACCAAGUCUGUCUAGGCUUCACAAUGUAUUUCAUGUGUCUGUGUUAAGAAAGUACAUUGCAGACCCUUUACAUGUGCUAGACUAUCAACCGAUUCAGAUAAAUGAAGACAUGUCGUAUGAGGAACAGCCUAUUGAGAUUGUCGAUCGAGACGAACAAGUAUUAAGGAAUAGAGUUAUUCCCCUAGUGAAGGUACGAUGGAUGAAUCAUUCUAUUGAGGAAGCCACUUGGGAGAGAAGCAGAAAUGUUGGAGAAGUAUCCUCAACUCUUCCAUGCAUAAGGUAACCUUUUAAUUUCGAGGACGAAAUUUUUGUUAGGAGGGGAGAAAUUGUAACGCCACAAAUUCCCAUACAUAUUAAAUUAUGGAAAUUGGGCUUUCAUUGAGAAUUAUGGGUGGCCUAUAACCCUUAUUUAGAAAGGGGUACUAAUUAAAUAGAGGUUAUUUAUGAGAUCAUUUUGGAAAAGGGCUAUUUUUCCUUAUUGAAUAGGGUUUCUUAAGAUCCCCUAUAAAUACAUACUUUUCCCCCU